rnacentral:lncRNA from 14 species
GGUGAGCGGCCGGGGUAGGGCCACCAAUGGCCGCUACCCGCGUUUGGGAACGGGAGGUCCGGCGGUGGCAUCCUUCCCCUCACCGGUGUGUGUCGUGUUGACAGUGAGGCAGCGGGUGCUCGACCGGCGGGUCCAUGAGCUUGAGUGGGAGCCCAGAGGGCAGCUGUCGCUACUCGUCACCGAGCUGCCUGCGGACGGCUGCCAGGAGCAGGAGGUGGCACCAGCUGGCGGGGCCGAGGCGUCAGGUAGGGUACUCAUGAGGCGCGGUGCGGGACAGGACUCCGGGUCUGGACACCCCUGGGCCGGGGGAGGGAGGGACAGGGAACGGCGGCGGAGCCGUCUGCUCGUUGAGAGCUUGCCCAGGCUGGCGUUGAGAUGUGCUCUGUCAGUUCACCACCUCCACCACUCCCCUCCGUUUGUUAAAACAUAAAUUUAAUGUAAUUUGUAAAGGAUAGUGCCGAGAAAUAUACAGGAGUGAUUCGUGUCAGAAAUAGGAGUCCUUGUUGCCAUUGUACUUUGUGUGAAACUAGCCCUCCUUUGUGACCGUGAUUACCAUAAGUGCUCCUGCCAAUACAAAUGAUGAAAGGUAAGGAGAAACAAAGGGGAUAAUCUCUCCUAAUCAAUCGCUUUGUUUUUCAAAGGGUGCUUCCGUUUAACUGUUUGCCUGGUUUUAACGAGGUUAGAUAACCAAGAGACACAUCUUGUUACAGGAUGUUGCAAACUUGGGUACUAGGCAAAAUAACCAUAUAUGAUAUAGAACAAAGUGUUAAGACUACAGUUACGCUUGUAAGCGUUUUUCUGUUAAUGCAUUACCAAGAAAGUUCAGCAAUGUGUUCACCGGAGAAAGACCCCAGCAAACAAGAAAAAGAACAAAGGAAAGGAGCCAUGUCAACAUUCGUGUAAAGAAGACAACAGGAUUGGCUAAAACCCAAGACCGCGAAGUGUAAGAGACUAUACCUCAAAGAUCCUGGUGUGCGUCCUUGGUUGAGUGGAGACUCCCAGGCACACCCAGCACUGCUUGCUUAUUGCCUCUCAAUAUUAAUCAAUUGUAAUAUAAUUAAUUGGAUUAGAUCAUGGCUAAGACGAAUUUUUUAUAACAGUGCUUAAGUAAACUCCAAGGCAUGCAUAAAACCUGAACGAACUAACUUUCCAUGCAUUUUUUUUGUGGUUCCAGCAGACAUCAUCUGUGUUCUCUUUGCUUACCAGAGUUGGCUAGUCACACAUACCACCUUUAUCCUACAUGCAAAUGAGUUACUUGUGCCAAUAAGAGUGGUGCACAGGUGAAGACCAAGGGUGAAAGGCCAGGAAAGCAUCUUGGCAGAUAUUACCAUUACCUUUUGGUUUCUAAUUUAGCAGUGUUCCUUAUUGUUUCAAGCCAGCAGGUAGAGAUGUGGUGCAGAGUCAGAAUCCAUCACAAUAGACACUUUUACAGGGGCACUUGACUUCUAAAGGCACUUCCUUCCAGGGUGGAAUGUCCUCAACAGAUUUCUUGUUCAACACACAGUUCCUCUCUGAGGGCUGUGCUGUAAUGCAUGGGAGAAGGUGCUUGCAGGGGUUCAUGAAGCAUGAUGGUGUGCUAGUUUGGUUUUUAACAUUAUGCCUGAGGCUUCUUGAGCUUAAAGAGUGUUUCUGUGACCACACUUGACAUAUGGCUUGCAAAAAGUAAUAUAUGGAAGUUUGUGAUUCUGACAAUGUCAAAUAAAUCUAAAUUCAAUCUGUGCUAGCUCCUGGUA